rnacentral:rRNA from 1 species
CCUACGGGAGGCAGCAGUAAGGAAUAUUGGACAAUGCUCGCAAGAGUGAUCCAGCCAUGCCGCGUGCAGGAAGAAUGCCCUAUGGGUAGUAAACUGCUUUUGAACUAGAGAAAACCCCAGUACGUGUACUGGGCUGAUAGUAUAGUUAGAAUAAGCAUCGGCUAACUUCGUGCCAGCAGCCGCGGUAAGACGAAGGAUGCAAGCGUUAUCCGGAUUCAUUGGGUUUAAAGGGAGCGUAGGUGGACUGAUAAGUCAGUGGUGAAAUCUCCGAGCUUAACUCGGAAAUUGCCAUUGAUACUGUUGGUCUUGAGUACAGUUGCUGUGGGCGGAAUAUGACAUGUAGUGGUGAAAUACAUAGAGAUGUCAUAGAACACCGAUUGCGAAGGCAGCUCACAAAGCUGUAACUGACACUGAGGCUCGAAAGUGCGGGGAUCAAACAGGAUUAGAUACCCUGGUAGUCCGCACCGUAACGAUGAUUACUCGCUGNGNGGGCGACGUUAGUGUCGUAGACGAAGACGAGUAAGUAAUACACCGACGGAGGACGCCGGCGACGGAGAACGACGAAGAAGUAGACGGACGNGGAGACGNGCGACGGACGACGACGAGGGGAGGUUAGG